rnacentral:rRNA from 1 species
GAUGAACGCUGGCGGCGUGCUUAACACAUGCAAGUCGAACGAGAAGUGAAGACGGAAACCUUCGGGCGGAAGGCUUUAUUUCGAGUGGCGGACGGGUGAGUAACGCGUGGGUAACCUGCCUCAUACAGGGGGAUAACAGUUGGAAACGACUGUUAAUACCGCAUAAGACCACAGCACCGCAUGGUGCGGGGGUAAAAACUCCGGUGGUAUGAGAUGGACCCGCGUUCGAUUAGCCAGUUGGCGGGGUAACGGCCCACCAAAGCGACGAUCGAUAGCCGAUCUGAGAGGAUGACCGGCCACAUUGGGACUGAGACACGGCCCAAACUCCUACGGGAGGCAGCAGUGGGGAAUAUUGCACAAUGGGGGAAACCCUGAUGCAGCGACGCCGCGUGAGUGAAGAGGUAUUUCGGUAUGUAAAGCUCUAUCAGCAGGGAAGAAAAUGACGGUACCUGAGUAAGAAGCCCCGGCUAACUACGUG